rnacentral:rRNA from 1 species
GACGUAGGGGGCAAGCGUUGUCCGGAAUCAUUGGGCGUAAAGGGCGCGUAGGCGGUUUGUCAAGUCGAAUGUGAAAGCCCAGGGCUCAACCUUGGAAGUGCAUCCGAAACUGGCAAACUAGAAUCUCGGAGAGGGUGGUGGAAUUCCCAGUGUAGAGGUGAAAUUCGUAGAUAUUGGGAGGAACACCGGUGGCGAAGGCGACCACCUGGACGAAGAUUGACGCUGAGGCGCGAAAGCGUGGGUAGCAAACAGG